GUGCAGGAAGACGGCCCUCUGGGUUGUAAACUGCUUUUAUCUGGGAAGAAAAAGUCCAUGCGUGGAAAAUUGCCGGUACCAGAUGAAUAAGCACCGGCUAACUCCGUGCCAGCAGCCGCGGUAAUACGGAGGGUGCAAGCGUUGUCCGGAUUUAUUGGGUUUAAAGGGUGCGUAGGCGGCUGAAUAAGUCAGCGGUGAAAGACUUCGGCUUAACCGGAGCAGUGCCGUUGAUACUGUUUAGCUUGAGUGUUGGAGGGGUACAUGGAAUUGAUGGUGUAGCGGUGAAAUGCAUAGAUACCAUCAGGAACACCGAUAGCGAAGGCAUUGUACUGGCCAACAACUGACGCUGAGGCACGAAAGUGUGGGGAUCGAACAGGAUUAGAUACCCUGGUAGUCCACACCGUAAACGAUGAUUACUCGCUGUUAUGGUGCAUUCUGUAGCGGCCAAGCGAAAGCGUUAAGUAAUCCACCUGGGGAGUACGCCGGCAACGGUGAAACUCAAAUGAAUUGACGGG
rnacentral:rRNA from 1 species